UUUUUUUCUAUUCAAAUCUCCGGAAAACUACUUUAUCUGAGCAUCCUAUUUACAAGUUUUAGGUUGGGGUGACCGCGGAGUAAAAAAUAACCUCCACAGUGAAUGGAAUCUUUUCCUAAACUCAGGGCCACAACCCUAAAAAUCAAUAAAUUGACACCCAUUGACCCAAUAUUUUGAUCAAUGAACCAAGUUACCCUAGGGAUAACAGCGCAAUCCACUUCAAGAGCUCCUAUCGACAAGUGGGUUUACGACCUCGAUGUUGGAUCAGGGUACCCCAGUGGUGCAGCCGCUGCUAAAGGUUCGUUUGUUCAACGAUUAAAACCCUACGUGAUCUGAGUUCAGACCGGAGUAAUCCAGGUCAGUUUCUAUCUAUAAAGAGUUUCUUCUAGUACGAAAGGACCGAAAAAACAUGGCCAAUGCCACCUGUAAGCCAUACAACCUAUUUAUGACACAGCCUCAAUAAAAAAUAUGUCUCUAAAACAGCUUAAGAAAAGAGCA
rnacentral:rRNA from 1 species